AUCUGAUAGUGAAUUUAACUCUCUUUCAUUUCUGGCGAAAUUAAAGAGAUCUGUGACCAAAAGUAGUCAAGCACUGGAGUCUGAGGUUUUCAAUGUGAGUUUAAUAACACAACUUGUCUUUUAACUUAGGUGGCCUGCCAUGGGUAUCCAUGGUGACAAGAGUCAACAAGAGCGUGACUGGGUUCUAAAUGAAUUCAAACAUGGAAAAGCUCCUAUUCUGAUUGCUACAGAUGUGGCCUCCAGAGGGCUAGAUGUGGAAGAUGUGAAAUUUGUCAUCAAUUAUGACUACCCUAACUCCUCAGAGGAUUAUAUUCAUCGAAUUGGAAGAACUGCUCGCAGUACCAAAACAGGCACAGCAUACACUUUCUUUACACCUAAUAACAUAAAGCAAGUGAGCGACCUUAUCUCUGUGCUUCGUGAAGCUAAUCAAGCAAUUAAUCCCAAGUUGCUUCAGUUGGUCGAAGACAGAGGUUCAGGUCGUUCCAGGGGUAGAGGAGGCAUGAAGGAUGACCGUCGGGACAGAUACUCUGCGGGCAAAAGGGGUGGAUUUAAUACCUUUAGAGACAGGGAAAAUUAUGACAGAGGUUACUCUAGCCUGCUUAAAAGAGAUUUUGGGGCAAAAACUCAGAAUGGUGUUUACAGUGCUGCAAAUUACACCAAUGGGAGCUU
rnacentral:sRNA from 1 species